GUGGAGCAUGUGGGUCAAUUUGACUCACGCGGGGAAUCUUACUAGGUCCGGACCGAGUCUAUGAACGUCGUACCGUUGGGUGCUACGUGAUUACUGGAUGAGUGGUGCAUGGCCGUUCUUAGUUCGUGGUGUUAAUUGUCUACUUAAUUGUUUCGAUUUUUAGUCUCGCGGCUAAGAACUAUAUAACGAACGAGAUCGAGACCCGUGGUUACAAUCUACGGGGAUCGCGUAAUACUCAACGGUACGAUCGAAAGACUCGGCAAUAACAGGUCUGUGAUGCCCUCAGAUGUUCUAGGCUGCMCACGUGCUACAUUGUGAGUUGUAGUAUAUUGUGUAUGCGUAGAUAUGUCUAAGAUCCCCCGCAUCGAGUCUCAAUUACUCACGUGGUUGGACUCACCGAUUGUAAUAAUUAUUCGGUAUACUAA
rnacentral:rRNA from 1 species